rnacentral:rRNA from 1 species
UACAGAGGGUGCAAGCGUUAAUCGGAAUUACUGGGCGUAAAGCGUGCGUAGACGGUUAUGUAAGUCGGGUGUGAAAGCCCCGGGCUCAACCUGGGAAUGCCAUUCGAGACUGCGUAGCUAGGGUGCGGAAGAGGGAAGCGGAAUUUCCGGUGUAGCGGUGAAAUGCGUAGAUAUCGGAAGGAACACCAGUGGCGAAAGCAGCUUCCUGGUCCAGCACCGACGUUCAGGCACGAAAGCGUGGGGAGCAAACAGG